UCGAAUGAUUUUGCUAUCAUUUUUACUAUGGAAGCACCUACUCCGAAACAAAAAACAUUGCAUACAUGUUAAUCAUGUUGUCAUAUAAAUUGUUCUGUGAAUAAGGUGGUUUGUAGACGAUGUUGCGAGUAGAGUGGUGGUGGCGAGGCGAGGGUUCCCGUGGGGAGACGGGCGGGAUCCGCUGAUUUCCAUGUUCUUUCACAGCCAAACAGAUCCACAUUACCACAAGGAAGAUGAGGCUUCUCUCUGAACCACCGCAAUGCGAAUCCCUUCGUAACCAACCGAAAUCGUUCAUCUUUCCAAUGGCCAAUGAGAAUUCUGUAAAAUCUCAACUGAAAGAAAUAGAUUUUGAGGGAGAGCAACAUACCCAUGAUCCAGAAAAUAGAUUACUUUGAAACUCCUUUGAAAUUGCAACAAAAGCGUACUGCAGAUUUUUCUUCCGAGAAGAUUAAAAUGUACUGUUAUGGAAACAUAUAGAAAAAGAAAAAUAGAUGAAAAUUUGGGGAUUUUUGUUCGGUUAGAGUAACCGUAAAGAAACCUCCGGCCAACAGGUUCUUUAAUCUUUAGAAGAAGAAAAGGUGCAUGCUUUAAAUAAUAAUCUUAUCAAGACUGGCAAAAUUUUCAUCAACUCCAGCUUCGUCUCCGAUGCCCUCAUCGUCCUCCUCUGCUCGCUCGCCAUUCUCUUCGCCAAAUGAACAUCUCGGUGCCGGUCGAUCCACUCCGGUGGCAGAUUUCGUAGGACACUGCCAAUAGGAUUGUUGCCCUUUUAGCGAAUAUCAUAGGAGCAGCUGAGUCUGUACUGAGGGUUGCAGCCAUAGGACCUGACAAGAGGUUGUUUUUCAAGACAGCUCACCAGAUAACUUCGAAUUUAAAUCUUCUCCAAGUGGUGUUUUGUCUUUACGAGCUUUCAGCUUUGGGACGGUUGGUGUCAGGUCUUACAGUUG